rnacentral:rRNA from 1 species
GGGAUAACAGUCAGAAAUGACUGCUAAUACCGCAUAAGACCACAGCACCGCAUGGUGCAGGGGUAAAAACUCCGGUGGUACAGGAUGGACCCGCGUCUGAUUAGCUGGUUGGUGAGGUAACGGCUCACCAAGGCGACGAUCAGUAGCCGGCUUGAGAGAGUGAACGGCCACAUUGGGACUGAGACACGGCCCAAACUCCUACGGGAGGCAGCAGUGGGGAAUAUUGCACAAUGGGGGAAACCCUGAUGCAGCGACGCCGCGUGAGUGAAGAAGUAUCUCGGUAUGUAAAGCUCUAUCAGCAGGGAAGAAAAUGACGGUACCUGACUAAGAAGCCCCGGCUGACUACGUGCCAGCAGCCGCGGUAAUACGUAGGGGGCAAGCGUUAUCCGGAAUUACUGGGUGUAAAGGGUGCGUAGGUGGUAUGGCAAGUCAGAAGUGAAAACCCAGGGCUUAACUCUGGGACUGCUUUUGAAACUGUCAGACUGGAGUGCAGGAGAGGUAAGCGGAAUUCCUAGUGUAGCGGUGAAAUGCGUAGAUAUUAGGAGGAACAUCAGUGGCGAAGGCGGCUUACUGGACUGAAACUGACACUGAGGCACGAAAGCGUGGGGAGCAAACAGGAUUAGAUACCCUGGUAGUCCACGCCGUAA